GGUCGCGGGUUGCGAACCCUGCAACUUUCCCCUCGGCGCAAAGCGGGGACGCGCCGAGUGUAGGGGGCCGCCGCUCAGCGCGGCUUAGGGGCCGCCCCCCAUCGCUGUGAAGCGGGAUGAGAGAAGAUGGCGCCCCCCACUGUUGCCAAGGCGUGAAUUUUUUUUUAGUUUUUUUGCGGGAAGCCCUGCGCCCGUAAAUCCCCAGCGCCUGGAGUCCUGUUACUAUGGUCCCGCUGGCACACAUCCAGAAAGUUUUGGGUAAUAAUGACAACUUUGCCAUGGGAACUUAAUUCACAAUACUUUUAGUCAAUGGAUUGAGAAAGGACAGAUAGAAAUCAAACCAGGGUCUCAUACGCUCAAGAGAUACUCCAAUAGACUAGAUGGCACCUACCGACCCAUUGGGGGAAAUCAAAUUAAAACAUUAUUUCAGAAAGAGUUGGCUUUUCUAGUUAACUUCUUGAGAAGGCUCACACACCUAAUGGAUUAUAUUGAGCAUAUAUUCAGAGAGGCGCUAACUAUCUGGAAAACUAUCAAAUCACAGGACUUGGCUGGUUCUGAGGACAUCGAUGAUUAUCAAAUCCAAACAAGGCCUCAGGGUAGCUUCCCCAAAUCCUCCUUUAUUGGAACAAAUGGUGGCUGAUUCAAAGACUGUACUUCAGCUGUCUUUCAUCAUCCAAAUGAGAUAAGAUGCCAGCAAGAUGUAUUCAAGAAAUUAAGAUUCAAGCUGUGGUAUCCCAUAUGAAGAGAUCUACAUUUCUGCUUAAUCGGUUAACUUGAAAUUGGGGCUCUGAUGCUAUUGAAGAGUUUUCACAUGCUUCCUUUUGUUGCAGUGUGUGUCACUUUUUAGAGUCUAGGAACAUAAUAUCAU